GCCGCCGGUUUGCGCGGCGCCUUCGGUGCGGCGGCCUUCUUCGCCGCGGGCGCCUUCGCCUUGGCCGGUGAAGCAGCCUUCUUCGCGGCUGCCGGCGGUGCC
rnacentral:tRNA from 1 species